UCGACUCAUGCAUUCAUCCGCCGUUUACAACCUUUUCAGAUUCCCCUACUGUAACGAUUCUAAUUUAAUUGACCCAAACUUUCCCUAGCCAUAUAUUACUUCAUCUUCAUCUUCUGCUGUUUAGAGUAUGCUCAAACCUCUUACUUCUCUCCAUUGCUCACUAUUUCUCCGAAUCCUUGAAGCACCGCAAUGAUGGCCCUAAAACGCUCCAAAUCGUCGAUCUCUGACGGUUUACUUCUACAAAGUCGCCGCCGGUCAAGUUGAUUCAGUUUUGAGAAGCCCAUAAUCCCGCUAAAGUAGGGAUGCUAAUUGGCCUUCAGCUUCCAUCUCAUUAGAGCAGAUCUUAAUCGGUUUCCGCUGUCGACUGAUUUCUUAGAAAGUUUUAGCGCUCUCCGCCGUAAAAUCUACAAUCACCGAAGGUUUUUUUUUUCAUUACCCAAAUCUCUAAACUUUCAGUUUAUCUUAAUAUUUGAUGAACACUAUGAAUACUGAAUAGAGAAUGACAAUUUAUCUUAAGAGUGUUUUAGAUCGACUUUUCUUAAAGUGUUGUGUUUUUGACCUUGCUAAUGUUAUUGCUACUAACCUUAACAGGAAAAGUGAAGUACUUUCAGUCUUGGGUUUAGUGGACUCGAUAAUAAGAUAAACAUCAUUGCGUCAGUUUACAUUCUGAGAGAUCCAGGAUGUAAGAGUGUUUGAACCAUGUAAGGAUGCUCAUCAACGUGUUGGACACACUCUUUUGUUGAACCAUGAGUGCGUCCUUUUCUUAUUCCCUUCCUUGAACCACAGCAUGACUGCUGCAAUUUAUGUGAGGAUGUUUGUCAUGGAUAUAGAAAGAAACGUUGGGGGUGCUACGAAUUUAGAUUUAAUUGACCAAGUGAGGUGCUGAUAAAAAAAGGUUUAAUUUAGUAAACCAAUCAUUUUUUAAAAUAUAUAGAUGGUUCAUAUUUGUAAUUCAGUACUGCUUAAUAUCUUCUGUAAUUCCGAUUUAUUUAAACAUCCCCUAGCUGGUCACUAAGCUAACGGUUGCCAUCCUCACUUGAUUGCUCCUGAGCAAGGUAUUGAGUCUUCUAUUGUAUUCCUGGGAGGCCCUUCUGAGGUUACUGUGUCAAUGAAGAGCCCAAAGUCUAUAAGCAAUAUGUAUGGGAAGGAGAAGCUGAUUCAAGCAGUAUCUUCCAUUUAAGAAGAUACUGAUCCUCAGCUAAUCAUUCUUAGAGGGACCUGUCUUACUUUGCAUCUAAAGGAUCAUAAUGCUUUGCCGGAUGACAAAGGAUUUGCAGACCCAGACUGAAUUCAGAAGCUCUUGAAAACUAUGCUCAGUUUGUUUCGUUCCCUAUAUACACAUGGAAGGGAAAAUGGAUAACAAAAGAGGGUUCUCUUAUACAGGUUGAUGAUGCAUGAUUCAGCUGAGUAAAACGUGAUGAGCAGGAUGACAAAACUGAGGUAGUUUUGAUACCAAAGCAUAUCACUAUUGUCAUGGAAUAUGCUGUUGGAGGUGGACUAUUUGACCGUAUAUGCAGCGCUGGAAGAUUCGAAGAGGAUGAAGUGAGCUAGGCAUUUAGAGAUGAGACUUUAUAUAUGGUCUAGGUCUAUCAAUAAUUUCAGAGCUGAGUUAUAUGUUGGCCAUGUUCGUCAGGCAAACGCUGCGGCAGCAAUGGCGAUCAAAAUACAACGGCAAAAUGAAGAAAUUUGGCCUAGGUAAAGUCGCAGCCAUCACUUAUUGUUCAGAUGAACACAAAGUGUGAAUCGUUACAUAAAACAGCGGCACUCUCCGGAAUGAAUUUGUGUCGUCAGCGACCAUUUCUCUCUCAUCACUGUGAUCUUUUUUUCAUUAAUUGUUCUGUUGUUUAUGUGCUUUUCUAACCGGCAGUCGCUGCCGCGACCUUUGUCCGAUGAACAGGGCCGUUGUCUAAUGUAGUGUCAUCGGAAAGAAAUGGGAAUAUACUUCUUUUUUUUAAAACAUGAAAAGGGAAUAUACAUAGCACAUUAAGAAGGAGA